GGGAGUUUUCAGGAAAAAUGGCUGCCGGUGCUUUGUUGCGGUGGAGGAUCACAUCUACUGGUCCUACGAGUUUGCAGUUGCGGACCUUAUUUGAGAAAGGUUUUCGGAUGGACUAUGAUUCUUAGUGCCUUAUUUUCCAGAUGAAUCUCCCAGAAAUGAUUUGCUAGUGUUACAGUGUCUAAGGAAUGGGAAAGAAAUACUGGAAGAAAGUAGCGUGUCCUUGGAUUUGGUCCAAGACACUCCCACCCCCACCCCAGGUAUCCAAGGAAUAAGAUCCUGCCAGUAUUCCCUUGAUUCUGGAAGGUCUACAUUGUUCUGUCCAGACUAGGAUGAGCCUGGGUUUUAAAAUUUAUUUUAAUGAAAAAUUAUUCUGACCUGUGUUCACACAAUAGGGAAGAGUUCAUUCAGGACUACUGCAGCAGGUGAUAGUGCCAUGACUGUUGCACUAGGGGAGAGAGAUCAGGUUAAUCACCAAAUGCAAGGGAUCUAUAGCCAAGGAGCAGGUUGUGGGCAUUGGUGGCUGGGUAGUUACUCAGUAAAAACAGCAAGGCCAGAGGGGAUCCUUCCUAAAAUUAGCAAGCAAACAGGAUGCCUGCUGAGGGCAGGCUGGGGUGAUGAUUGUCAAGGAUGGGGGUGAGGAAUUUGCCUCAAUAUUGACAGCGAUCAGAUACCAAGGGUGAAAAGAUUCUCUCUAAACUGGCUUAGCAAGGUUCUUGCCAAAACUGGGCUGUGCAAAAUGAAGGUUACUUGAGAAGAGGUCUCAGAGGAGCCUGACGCAAGUCCAGCAGAAGCGUCUUUGUUGAGUUCAGUGUAAAGAUAGCAGCAAUACCAGUUAAAGCAGAAUUUGGCCCCUAAGCUGGCAGAGUUUUUUGACCUUUUGCCAAGUGAGUGGACAGCCAUAAAGAUUCAAUGGGAAUGAAAAUGUUUGCUAUAUUUUCUAAUAUAAACUUGUUAGUCAAUUUAUCUUUAUCAUGGUGUACGAGCAUGUAAUCAGGUACUUCUCUUUUAACAGCACUUUUUUUUUUUUUUUUUGCAGUUUUGGUGAUUGAAACUAGGGUCUCACUCAUCCUAGGCAAGCCUUUACCGUGGAGCUACAUCCUCAGACCAAUGGCACAAACUUACAUCAAUUAAUCUUUAUACACUGGUUUUCUUUUUAAUUGUUGUGGUGCUAGGGCUGGAACUCAGGGCCUCACACCUUGCUAGGCAAGUGUUGUGCCCCUGUGCUACAUUCUCCAAUCUUUAUAUACCAACAUACUUCACUUGCAUUGUGGUCAUGUUGCUUUUGCUGGGCACUUGAAGAACACAGUAUGUAUAUAACAGAGCAGUGAAAGAUAGGUUUAUAUUCUUUCAGACAAUCCCUUAAGCCUUAGCUCUUACCAGGAUGAUAGCUCUUACCAGAAUGAAGCAGUGGGUGGAGGAUUAAAAUAUCAAAGGUACCUUGGGUCAUGAACUUAAUUUGUUCUACCAUUCUGGAAAAGAUGCCACGUUUGUAUUUGUGUGGGAAAGUUUGCAAACAAAAACAAAAUUUUGCCAAACAUUUCUGUUUGCGAACUAAAUUGCAAACAAAAGUGUUCAUGAACUGAGGUGCUGCUGAAUAUAGUAAUCUAGAGCCUCCUAGAGACUCUUAUUUUUAAAACACUAACAAAGAUAUGCUGAGUAUCUUAGAAUUCUUAUGUAUUUUGUGUUCAAAUUGGCACGUGUUUAUUUCAUAGAAUAUCUUUCUAUGUCAUUAAUUUGUAGAUAUUAUUUUUGACUUAGCCUGAUGUGUGUGCAAUAUUGGAUGGUCCAGGAGUGAGUGUAGAUUGAUGCAAAGAAAAGUGGCCUGCAGCUUGGUCAGCUUGUGCUCUCCUGACAAAUUGGAUGGUGUUAGUUACAGCGUUAUAGCAUAGGCAGGGAUAACAAAACAAUAGACCAAAAAUGAAUGAUACUACUGAACCAGCUCAUUGUUUUGCAUAUGAGUAAGUGGCACAAUUUGUCCUGCAACUCUUGCAUAAACCACGCCAUUGGCUAAACUGACACUAGAUAAAGAGAACUUUCCAUGUAUAGAAAUAUUUCAGGUAAUAAAAAAAUGACAAAAUUAGAACAUCAACAUUUCACAAACUCUAAUAAAUUUGUUUUCUUUUUCUUUCUUUCUUUCUUUUUUCUUUUCUUUUUGUUUUUUGUUUUUUGUUUUGGUACCAGGGAUCAAACUCGGGACUUUGAACCUCUAAUAAAUUAAUAGACCAAAAUUUUGAUCAUUCACGUCUGAAAACAUCAAGAGAAACAACCAGACAUUGCAUGGCUCUUAAUAGAUGCUCCUAACAAUGUCUGUAAAUUUAUCUUACCCCAAAUUCCAAACUGAAUCUGCUUAAGUCUCUACCAACUUAUGGAAAGUCGAAUUGUUUUCACUUGAAUGGCUGUAUCUUAGGUUGGACUAUACAAAUUUGAAUGUUCAUUCUUCCAGUUUGAUCUCUCUGAGGUUCCUGAAGCAACCGAGAGGUUACCCAUCCUCCCAUCUCUAAGCCAAGAAAACAAGGCUUCACCUUGGAUGCUUACACCUGAGAGGCUUUAAAAAUUGCUUAUGUGUGGAGCUAGAGAUAUUGAGCUAGAGCUCUUACCUGGUUCCAGCCCUAUUACCAUAAACAAACAAACUGCACAUGGCUUCACCUAGUCACACUAUGGCAUUAUAGUCUCAUUAUACCAUUUGUGACAUAACCCUAAAUAAAGGUUAUGGCACAGCUGAAAUGUUGGCAUUAAUAGAUGAUUUAUUUUUGGUAGAUUAAUGAGUGUUCCAUUAUAAAACCACAUUAAUAAUGAAGGCAUAGUGGUUUCUUUAGAAAUGUUUUGAGUGUUGAUGUUUAUUUGGCUGUCUGCCAUGUUUCCUUCCUCAUAAUAAUUAUCAUGUUCCAUCCUCCUUUGGACCAUAAGUCUAAGUUUCUAUGUCAGUAUCUGACAAUUAAACAUCUGAUGUCAAUUUAGUCAUUUCCUGUCUUCUAUAGGAAGCUGACAAGAAUUAUUUUAUAAUUCUUAUGGGAUCCAUGUGUUCAUUUUCUGUGAUUUUAUAGAUAGUACUAGGUCUGUUACUAGAGGGAUGAUAAUGGCCACUGUGGCCAUUGUCCCAGUCCUAAAAAUCAUACAAAUAGUCAUUGUCACAUAGUGGUGUAUCAUUUUCCAUAGCGACUAGUAGAUCUCAGCUGGUGAUAGCUUUUCCUCUCCUUUUGGAGACUAGGUUCUUGGUCAGGGAUUUUUCCUUGUUAUUUACCUUUAUGUUUUCAGCAACUUUAAAUACAAAUGAUAGAAUUUCAUCUUGAGCAGCUCUUUUUUUUUUUUGCGGUGCUGAGAGUUGAACUCAGGGUCUUCAUACUGAGUAACAUCCCUCGCGCUUUUUAUUUUUUAUUUUGAGACAGUGACUCACUAAAUUGCCCAGGCCAGGUUUGAAUUUACAAUCUUCCUGCCUCAGCCUUCUGGAUUUCUGGGAUUAUAGGUGUGCACCACUACACCUGGCUCUGAGCAACUCCUUUCACAGUUGUGUGCAACUCAAUGGAUUGGUGAUCUGGACAACAUCUGGAGUGUCCCGUAUUUUUAAUAUCAGUGUUACUAGAUCCUCAAUAGGUCUCCACAGCGGAUUAAAACAUGGUCUUUAGUACCUUAAAUUAGUUUAAGAAGUGCAAACAAACUAGCCAUAUUUAGAGACAAUGUUCAGUCCUUUACUUUUAUGUAUACCAAAUAUAUAAAACUUGUUAAUUUGUUAUUCUUAUAAAGAAUAGUAUCCAAAUCCAGAAAAACAAUAAAGAAUAAAAGUGGUAUGUAUUCCUCUACUCUUACAUACUUAUUGUCCGUGCAAGCAGAAUUCUGCUAUCCAGUUAAAGUUUCUGAAAGUACUAAGUACAUUAUUAUUUAUGUUAGAAAAGUUUUGCACUAUCCAAUUAACUUUGCAGAAGUGUUUGUGAGCAUGACCUAGAAUUUCUGCACUUUGUUAAACUCCUAGAAAUUCUUCCCCAUAAUUGGAGUUGAUAAUGCAGUGGCAUAUUAAGAGUGCAGAGGAGGGACCGGGGAUUUAGCUCAGUGGUUCCGCUGCCUGUCUCGCAAGCACAAGAUCCGGAGUUCAAUCCUCGGUUAAAAAAAAAGUAAAAAAGUACAGAGGAUUAUUUUGCAAUUUCCUUUCUUUGCUAUAAUUUCACUCAAAUUAGAUUCAUUAAAUUUUAAAUUUGAACUUUGUUCAACUAUUCACCUCUAUGCACUGUGUGAAAUCUCACUGACUCUACCAGUUGUUGAUAGUGGAAAUGAGGAGAUGAUCACAGUGUGAUUUCAUGAAUUGCAGUGUUUAUUGCCAUAGAAAGAGAACUUGUUUUGUGGUGGUUCUUUUGGUACCGGGAAUCGAACUCGGGUUCUUACGCUUGCGCAGCAAGCGGUGAAACCACUGAGCUAAAUCCCCGGCCCCCAAAAGAGAACUUUUUACUUAGGUUCACAGUGCUUAAAAGGGAGAGACUAUUGUGAAUGAACCUUGUGGAAGAUACAUUAUAGGUGAUAUUUACCACAUCGUGAGUUGAUUCCAAAAUCAUUAAAAUGCCCUUGCUUAAUUUGGAUGGAAGCAGACCUCUGUGGAAAAUAAUGUGUAAUUGAAGCUGAGAUUUUCCUUUAUGGGAGCGCCUCUCUGGAGAAGCUGGCUUGGCCACCACAGCAGAGAUCCAUGAGAGCGUGUCAGGUCCCUCAGUGCUGGAAUGGGU
ensembl:lncRNA